GGGGUUAUAUCUCGGUGGUUAGAGUACAUGCUUAGCAUUCAGGAGGUCCUGGGUUCAAGCCCCAGUACUUCCA
rnacentral:tRNA from 1 species